rnacentral:rRNA from 1 species
GUCCUAGCCGUAAACGAUGGGCACUAGGUGUGGGAGGUAUUGACCCCUUCCGUGCCGCAGCUAACGCAUUAAGUGCCCCGCCUGGGGAGUACGGCCGCAAGGUUGAAACUCAAAGGAAUUGACGGGGCCCGCACAAGCGGUGGAGCAUGUGGUUUAAUUCGACGCAACGCGAAGAACCUUACCAGGACUUGACAUCCCGCGAAUCUCUUCGAAAGAGAGAGUGCCCGCAAGGGAGCGCGGAGACAGGUGGUGCAUGGCUGUCGU